ACCUGGUUGAUCCUGCCAGUAGUCAUAUGCUUGUCUCAAAGAUUAAGCCAUGCAUGUCUAAGUAUAAGCGACUAUACUGUGAAACUGCGAAUGGCUCAUUAAAUCAGUUAUGGUUUAUUUGAUGGUACCUUGCUACUUGGAUAACCGUAGUAAUUCUAGAGCUAAUACAUGCAGGAGUUCCCGACUCACGGAGGGAUGUAUUUAUUAGAUAAGAAACCAAACCGGUCUCCGGUUGCGUGCUGAGUCAUAAUAACUGCUCGAAUCGCACGGCUCUACGCCGGCGAUGGUUCAUUCAAAUUUCUGCCCUAUCAGCUUUCGAUGGUAGGAUAGAGGCCUACCAUGGCGUUAACGGGUAACGGAGAAUUAGGGUUCGAUUCCGGAGAGGGAGCCUGAGAAAUGGCUACCACAUCCAAGGAAGGCAGCAGGCGCGUAAAUUGCCCGAAUCUUGACACAGGGAGGUAGUGACAAGAAAUAACAAUACAGGGCUAUUUUAGUCUUGUAAUUGGAAUGAGUACAAUUUACAUCUCUUCACGAGGAUCAAUUGGAGGGCAAGUCUGGUGCCAGCAGCCGCGGUAAUUCCAGCUCCAAUAGCGUAUAUUAAAGUUGUUGCAGUUAAAACGCUCGUAGUCGGAUUUCGGGGCGGGCCGACCGGUCUGCCGAUGGGUAUGCACUGGCCGGCGCGUCCUUCCACCCGGAGACCGCGCCUACUCUUAACUGAGCGGGCGCGGGAGACGGGUCUUUUACUUUGAAAAAAUCAGAGUGUUUCAAGCAGGCAGUCGCUCUUGCAUGGAUUAGCAUGGGAUAAUGAAAUAGGACUCUGGUGCUAUUUUGUUGGUUUCGAACACCGGAGUAAUGAUUAACAGGGACAGUCAGGGGCACUCGUAUUCCGCCGAGAGAGGUGAAAUUCUCAGACCAGCGGAAGACGAACCACUGCGAAAGCAUUUGCCAGGGAUGUUUUCACUGAUCAAGAACGAAAGUUAGGGGAUCGAAGACGAUCAGAUACCGUCGUAGUCUUAACCAUAAACCAUGCCGACUAGGGAUUGGAGGAUGUUCCAUUUGUGACUCCUUCAGCACCUUUCGGGAAACUAAAGUCUUUGGGUUCCGGGGGGAGUAUGGUCGCAAGGCUGAAACUUAAAGGAAUUGACGGAAGGGCACCACCAGGAGUGGAGCCUGCGGCUUAAUUUGACUCAACACGGGGAAACUUACCAGGUCCAGACAUUGUGAGGAUUGACAGAUUGAGAGCUCUUUCUGAUUCGAUGGGUGGUGGUGCAUGGCCGUCNNNNNNNNNNNNNNNNNNNNNNNNNNNNNNNNNNNNNNNNNNNNNNNNNNNNNNNNNNNNNNNNNNNNNNNNNNNNNNNNNNNNNNNNNNNNNNNNNNNNAGCAAAAGGUCAGCUGACCCUCGCCGAAGCGACGGCCUUCCUCGGGCGGUUCGGCCAGGCCUUCAAAGCGAGCGCGCCGUCGCCUGCGGCGCCCACUACCCCCUACGAAGCGCUCGUCCGCCGCGUCGACGCCGGCGGGCAGUUUGAUGAGUUCAUGGAGAAGACCAUCCCGUUUAUCUGCACCGAAGAACGUCCGCCAAAUCCGUGCUUUCGCGCAACUUGAGGGGAAGCCGCUGACGUGCCCGCGGCGCCGCGCAGCACCGCCGCUGCGGAAUCGGAUCGAGCCCAUGGAGGAGGAGGGCGCAGUCCGCCAGCGCAGCAGGCGGAGUCCCUCCCCGCGCCGGAGCCCCCCUGCAGUCGAGGGAGUCCUCGUUGGCGAUGAAGGUGGCGACAUCGAAUCGCGGCCGACAGACGUCACGUGGGAGGAAUGGGCGAUGAGCGGGAACGAUGCGCGCUACGACGCCGACUCCGCCGUGCUCGUGGCCGCCAAGCAGAAAGCCGCGCUCCAGGAGCACGCCAAGAUGCAAUGCAUCGAUUCAGCUCUCUCGGCAGCAGAAGUGGGGCUGGAGCGGGUGGGGGUGGAUGCCGAUUGAGGGGGAGCGUCUCCAGCUGCGCCCUGUGGCAGCUGCGCCCUGUGGCAGCUAGUCGAGGGACUUGGUAGUUGUGACCCCCCUGAGUGAGGACAGGAGAGAGAGAGCGUUUUGUGGUGUUGGUGUACGCAAUAACGGGACAGGGUGGUUGUUCUUCUAUCUCCUCUUCUAGCUCUUAGCAUGAGCUGCGCCCGGUGUCCGACCCCUUUUGCGCAGCAACACCUUAAACUUUUCAGGCCCUCCAAAUUCGGGUCGGAGCGUAGCGGAGUGGGCCCCGAGUUUGAAAAGGGCGACGGACGCUUGCGUCCUAGCCUCCAACAACGCCUCCCCGGCGCAGAGGGGCCCCCGGAGGGAUGCACAACCGCUCCACGCCACGCCGCUUGCGGCGGUCCUCUUCCCAGCUCCGCUGAGGGCCCGUGCGUUAUUCACCGAACCAGCAGCUCCGAGCUCGCUCACGCACGCGUGUGUGUGUGCGCGCCUGCCUGCUCAAUGACAUUCCUCCGCAUCUGCGUCACCGCCCUGCUCGCGAGCUUGGCGGCAGCCACGCGGUGCUUGCCCUCCUGCGGCGUGCGCGCCGCGGUUUGCGCGCCCCGUGUACGCGUCGCAGCCUCUGCGGCGCUUGGCGAGGACGGCGCAGCAGCAGCGUGGUAUUCCGACGAGGCGGACGGCGCAGCAGCAGCGGAGCCCGCCGCGGCGUCGCAGCAGGCUGCGGCGGCAGCGGACGCGGUGGAUGGCGCGGUGCCGGACACGGCUCCGGCCGCGGCCUCUCCGUCGGAGCUGCCGAAGCUGCCCAGCGAGCCGGCGGAGCCUGAAGGCCCGCCGACGCAGCUGCUGGAGACGUCCGACCUGGUCAACA
rnacentral:rRNA from 1 species